rnacentral:rRNA from 1 species
GGGGCAGAGUGACAGGUGGUGCAUGGUUGUCGUCAGCUCGUGUCGUGAGAUGUUGGGUUAAGUCCCGCAACGAGCGCAACCCUUGAUCUUAGUUGCCAGCAUUCAGUUGGGCACUCUAAGGUGACUGCCGGUGACAAACCGGAGGAAGGUGGGGAUGACGUCAAAUCAUCAUGCCCCUUAUGACCUGGGCUACACACGUGCUACAAUGGACAGAACAAAGGGCAGCGAAACCGCGAGGUUAAGCCAAUCCCACAAAUCUGUUCUCAGUUCGGAUCGCAGUCUGCAACUCGACUGCGUGAAGCUGGAAUCGCUAGUAAUCGCGGAUCAGCAUGCCGCGGUGAAUACGUUCCCGGGCCUUGUACACACCGCCCGUCACACCACGAGAGUUUGUAACACCCGAAGUCGGUGAGGUAACCUUUUAGGAGCCAGCCGCCGAAGGUGGGACAGAUGAUUGGGGUGAAGUCGUAACAAGG